GAGCCUAUUCGUUUGACGUUAGCGACAGAAGAAGCACCGGCUAACUCCGUGCCAGCAGCCGCGGUAAUACGGAGGGUGCGAGCGUUAAUCGGAAUUACUGGGCGUAAAGCGCAUGCAGGUGGUUUGUUAAGUCAGAUGUGAAAGCCCGGGGCUCAACCUCGGAAUAGCAUUUGAAACUGGCAGACUAGAGUACUGUAGAGGGGGGUAGAAUUUCAGGUGUAGCGGUGAAAUGCGUAGAGAUCUGAAGGAAUACCGGUGGCGAAGGCGGCCCCCUGGACAGAUACUGACACUCAGAUGCGAAAGCGUGGGGAGCAAACAGGAUUAGAUACCCUGGUAGUCCACGCCGUAAACGAUGUCUACUUGGAGGUUGUGGCCUUGAGCCGUGGCUUUCGGAGCUAACGCGUUAAGUAGACCGCCUGGGGAGUACGGUCGCAAGAUUAAAACUCAAAUGAAUUGACGGGGGCCCGCACAAGCGGUGGAGCAUGUGGUUUAAUUCGAUGCAACGCGAAGAACCUUACCUACUCUUGACAUCCAGAGAACUUUCCAGAGAUGGAUUGGUGCCUUCGGGAACUCUGAGACAGGUGCUGCAUGGCUGUCGUCAGCUCGUGUUGUGAAAUGUUGGGUUAAGUCCCGCAACGAGCGCAACCCUUAUCCUUGUUUGCCAGCGAGUAAUGUCGGGAACUCCAGGGAGACUGCCGGUGAUAA
rnacentral:rRNA from 1 species